rnacentral:rRNA from 1 species
CACAUGCAAGUCGAGCGAUUCUCUUCGGAGAAGAGCGGCGGACGGGUGAGUAACGCGUGGGUAACCUGCCCUGUACACACGGAUAACAUACCGAAAGGUAUGCUAAUACGAGAUAAUAUACUUUUAUCGCAUGGUAGAAGUAUCAAAGCUUUUGCGGUACAGGAUGGACCCGCGUCUGAUGAGCUAGUUGGUAAGGUAACGGCUUACCAAGGCGACGAUCAGUAGCCGACCUGAGAGGGUGAUCGGCCACAUUGGAACUGAGACACGGUCCAAACUCCUACGGGAGGCAGCAGUGGGGAAUAUUGCACAAUGGGCGAAAGCCUGAUGCAGCAACGCCGCGUGAGCGAUGAAGGCCUUCGGGUCGUAAAGCUCUGUCCUCAAGGAAGAUAAUGACGGUACUUGAGGAGGAAGCCCCGGCUAACUACGUGCCAGCAGCCGCGGUAAUACGUAGGGGGCUAGCGUUAUCCGGAAUUACUGGGCGUAAAGGGUGCGUAGGUGGUUUCUUAAGUCAGAGGUGAAAGGCUACGGCUCAACCGUAGUAAGCCUUUGAAACUGGGAAACUUGAGUGCAGGAGAGGAGGGUGGAAUUCCUAGUGUAGCGGUGAAAUGCGUAGAUAUUAGGAGGAACACCAGUUGCGAAGGCGGCUCUCUGGACUGUAAC